rnacentral:rRNA from 1 species
UACGGGGGGGGCAAGCGUUGUUCGGAAUUACUGGGCGUAAAGGGCUCGUAGGCGGCCAACUAAGUCAGACGUGAAAUCCCUCGGCUUAACCGGGGAACUGCGUCUGAUACUGGAUGGCUUGAGUUCGGGAGAGGGAUGCGGAAUUCCAGGUGUAGCGGUGAAAUGCGUAGAUAUCUGGAAGAACACCAGUGGCGAAGGCGGCUCACUGGCCCGGUACUGACGCUGAUGUGCGAAAGCGUGGGGAGCAAACAGG